rnacentral:rRNA from 1 species
GUGGAUUAGAUACCCUGGUAGUCCUAGCCGUAAACGAUGGACACUAGGUGUUGGUGGUAUCAACCCCGCCAGUGCCGAAGCUAACGCAUUAAGUGUCCCGCCUGGGGAGUACGGCCGCAAGGCUAAAACUCAAAGGAAUUGACGGGGGCCCGCACAAGCAGCGGAGCGUGGGGUUUAAUUCGAUGCAACGCGAAGAACCUUACCAGGGCUUGACAUGACCAGGACAACGGCGGAAACGUCGUCUUCCCGCAAGGGACCUGGCCACAGGUGUUGCACGGCCGUCGCCAACU